rnacentral:rRNA from 1 species
UCUGCCAGGGAACUACGAGCCAUAGCUUAAAACCCAAAGGACUUGGCGGUGCUUUAGACCCCCCUAGAGGAGCCUGUUCUAGAACCGAUAACCCCCGUUGAACCUCACCCUCUCUUGUAUGUCCCGCCUAUAUACCGCCGUCGUCAGCUUACCCUGUGAAGGACCCUUAGUAAGCAUAAUUGGUAUUACCCAAAACGUCAGGUCGAGGUGUAGCCAACGAGAGGGGAAGAAAUGGGCUACAUUCACUGCCCCAGUGAAUACGGAUGAUGCACUGAAACAAACAUCUAAAGGAGGAUUUAGCAGUAAGAAGGGAAUUAGAGCAUCCCCCUGAAACUGGCCCUGAAGCGCGCACACACCGCCCGUCACUCUCCCCAACCUAAAAUUAAUAAUAAAUAAAUAACUAUAAAGACAAAGGGGAGGCAAGUCGUAACAUGGUAAGUGUACCGGAAGGUGCACUUGGAAAAA